CGCAUCGUGUGUUUGGGUUUCUUCUCCCCAGUCCCUGGCUUUCUGUGGUCUGCCCGAAACAUCAACAAGGUGGCAUCUGGCAGGCCUCCUUCCAGAAGAAACACUGAGUUGAACAUUCCGGAACGCAUUGAGAAAUCCUGGUCCCAGCAGGAAGAUAAACCGAAUAUCGGAGGCAGCAAAAAUAGACUUCUUAUGAGUCAGGUGGACUACUCCCUCAACUAUCGGCCGAAGACAUGCAAAGAUCGACAAGAUCGUGAAAUACAGAAAUACAGAGAAAGCAAAAAUAACGUUCUUAUGAGGCAAGCGGCCUACUACCUGCGCUGCCGGCUAAAGACCAAAGGUAAGUAAGUUCUAUAGGUUCACCAUCAUCAUGAAAGUGCUGAACGAUCUUCUGUCUUUUCUGUGAGAAACUGAACCCUCUCUUCUUCAGAAUUUAUUGAAUUUUUCCCAUACUUCUAGGCAAAUAUAAAUGGGUAGCUUAGCAUUUUGUUAAAAAUGGAUCUGUUGGUCCAGUCUCCUCUGUAAAUUUCUCUAACCGUUUACUGACCAUCACAUAUGAUGAGAUAAAUCAGUAUUGCUGCAAUGUUGUCCCGCAGACAAGUAGCCUCUAGUCUGUUGUUCUAAAUGUCUGAGGCUGCUGAACUUCCAUUCGGUUCCGGUUUCUGCUGAGGCCCAGUAGGCAAAGCAGUGUUCUGGGGACACUGGGGUAAACACGGUGAUAACACACAGUACCCACUGUGGGGAACUUAAAGAGGACUCUGCUCCUUUCACAACCUGUGGUAUCGGUAAGUGGCACCAUCAAGAGCAGGGAGUACCCUUGUAUUCGUGACUCAGCCUGUUAGUUAGCUGGGAUCCCCAGUGGACACCAUCACCCUUGGCUAGUUUUUGUAUUUUUAGUAAGAGGUGGGUUUUCAUUAUGUUGGCCAGGCUGGUCUUGACUUCCUGAGGUCAAGUGAUCUUUCUUCCUGGGCCUCCUAAAUUGCUCCAGUUCCAGGCAUGAGACACUGUGCUGGCUCCACAGAUUCUUUUUUAUGUAAAGCUUGUUAGAAUUCAUCAGUCGGUCCAUUCUCUAUAAAUUUCUCUAACCAUUUGUUGGCCAUCAUAUAUGACGAGAUAAAUGAGUAUUAUUGCAAUGCUUCUGGAAAGUAGUUAGGGCAAUUUUUGAAGAUUUUAGGGACAAAGUUUUAAUUGUUUGUGCUUACUUAGGUGAGAGGAUAAGUGAUUAAGAUCUAGCAGAUAAGGGAGAUUUUGUUCCAUGGAUCUGAAAAGCAGGCUCAUUGACUUCUAGGGUGACCUAAUCUAGGGACCAGUAGAACAUUCCCUUCAGAAUAUCACAUUCUGAAACGGAGAAUAUUUUUCAUCCUUGUUCUAUGACUAGACACUGAUUUGGUCUUGUGUGAAGUGCGAUUUGCUUAAUGUGACCUGCUCUUCUGAAUUUGUUUACAGAAGAUCGGAGACGUCACGAGGAAGAACAGAAAUACAGAGACAGCAAAAAUAAACUUCUUAUGAGUCAAGACUACCCGGGCUGCAGGUUGAAGACGGAAAGUAUGUUUCAUAGGUUCACCGUCACCAAAGUGCUGAACAAUGUUCUGUGUUUCUUGUGAGAAACAAAAGGCUGUCUUCAUCACAAUUAAUUUCAUUUUUACCAUACAUCUAGGAAAAUAUAAAUGGGUAUUUUAACAUUUUGUUAAAGGUGGACGAGAGAGGCCAAAGUUAUGUAGCAACUUUUGCACAUCUGCAGUAAGGCGGGUGUGGGACUGAGGGUAGUCUCAGCUGUUGAUUUCUGACACAGGCACAGAACCACCUGUUUUUCUCAGGAAGAGGCUAAAUCGUGUUCACAGGAAUCCUCUCUGUACCACCUAAGGUCCCGCAGACAAGUAGCAUCUAGUCUGUUGUUCUAAAUGUCUGAGGCUGCUGAACUUCAUUUGGUUCCGGUUUCUGCUGAGGCUCAGUAGGGAAAGCUCUGUUCUGGGGAACAUGAGAUGGUAGCACACUAUUCUUCCUACAGGGAGCUUAAAGAGGACUCUGCUUCUUACAUACCCUGUGGUAUCUGUAAGUGGCAUCAUCAAGAGCAAAGAUUACUCUGGUCAGAGGGAUGUCCUGCUUUUUUUGCAGAGGCUCUCGUUGGUAAAGAGGAAGAACGACGGCACCCAUGACUUUUUGAAGGCAGCAGUACAUAGAGGAGGGACCCUGGGCCAGUCUCCUGAGCUCCAUCCAAGUUGCUUCUUUUGUUUGUUACUCAGUUUUGUCACCUGUUCGUAGGAUACUAUAAUAAUGCCUACCUCUGUCAAUUGCUGCACUGAAUUAGAUGGCCUAUUUAUUGUAACUCUCCCGGGACAGUUGUUGGCACAGAGUAAACUGUCUAUUAGUGUCUUUUUUUUUGAAAUGGAGUUUCGCUGUUGUUUCCCAGACUGGAGUGCAAUGGCAUGAUCUCGGCUCACCGCAACCUCCGCCUUCUUCAAGAGCAGGGAGUACCC
rnacentral:lncRNA from 1 species